rnacentral:misc_RNA from 1 species
AACGAGGCCGACCUGCGGCUGAGUUACCUGCGGAGGGAUCAUUAACGAGGUAGGGCCUCCUUCGGGAGCCCGAACUCCCCACCCUUUGCUGUUGCGAACAAGUUGCUUCGGCGGGACCCCCCUCCUCGUGGGGGGGACCGGGCGUCAGCCCGGGCAGCGCCCGCCGGGGGACCAAACCAACUCUUUUUGUUAAACAAUGUAGUCGGAGUACAAUCGUACAAUCAAAACAAAACUUUCAGC